rnacentral:rRNA from 1 species
GAUGAACGCUAGCGGCAGGCUUAACACAUGCAAGUCGAGGGGUAGUAUAGCAAUAUAUGAGACCGGCGCACGGGUGCGUAACGCGUAUGCAAUCUGCCUUUUACAGAGGGAUAGCCCAGAGAAAUUUGGAUUAAUACCUCAUAGUGUAUUUAGUCGGCAUCAACGUAAUACUAAAGUUCCAACGGUAAAAGAUGAGCAUGCGUCCCAUUAGCUGGAUGGUAAGGUAACGGCUUACCAUGGCUACGAUGGGUAGGGGUCCUGAGAGGGAGAUCCCCCACACUGGUACUGAGACACGGACCAGACUCCUACGGGAGGCAGCAGUGAGGAAUAUUGGACAAUGGGCGCAAGCCUGAUCCAGCCAUGCCGCGUGCAGGAAGACGCAUCUAUGGUGUGUAAACUGCUUUUGUACGGGAAGAAGCACCGGUUCGUGAACCGGCUUGACGGUACCGUAAGAAUAAGGAUCGGCUAACUCCGUGCCAGCCGCCGCCGUAACAC